AUAUAAAAUUAACUACCACGGAGCACAAGAAGCUUUGCUUUUCCAUGAUCAAGCUGCUAGAGAUUUUGGGGUUAGGGAGCGAAAUGAAGGCUAAAUAAAAGAACAGGAGAUAAGAUAAUCCUGCCAUGUUAAAAGGCUGUGGCAAUGCUCUGGUCUUUGUGGAGAGAGGAGCCUGGUGUCAGCAAAGGCAGCAGGGAGAAAUCUGAACAAAGACACACGGAGAGGAUGCUGUGCGACAAUGGAAGCAGAGAUUGGAGUGAUACACCUACAAACAAAGGAAUCCGAAAGACUGCUGGCAACUGCCAGAGACUAGGACAGAGGGAUGGUACAGAUUCUCCCUCAGUGCCUCCAGAAGAAACCAAUCCUGCCGAAACCUUGAUUUUGGACUUUCAGCUUCCAGAAACAGUAAAUAUACAUUGUUUUAAGCUAUCCAGUUUGUGGUGACUUGUUAUGGCAGCCCUCAGAAACCAAUAUAGUAAUUUUCACAUCAUCAGUCUUAAAGAAAAAGGUUAUAGGAACAGGAGUCAACCUCUUGGAGUUUCGAUUUCCUCCCCCAUAAAUUGGG
rnacentral:antisense_RNA from 1 species